rnacentral:rRNA from 1 species
GUAAAAAGACAGUUAGAUAAUUAUAGGAAGUUUAUUUAAUGUUUAUAGAAAGGUAGAAUUUGAAUAUAAUCAUAUAAUCUCGUUAUAACUUAUAUAUUGAAGCUGUGAUAUCCUUGAGGGAAACUGGGAUUAGAUACCCCAUUAUUCUUGGUCGCAAAUUAAAUUUAUUUACCAGAGUACUAUGAACCAUAAAAGUUUAAAACUCAAAGAGCUUGGCGGUGUUUUAGACCUUUCAGGGGAACCUGUCUCAUAAUCGACAAUCCACGCUAAACCUAACCUUUCUUUGCUUUCAGUUUGUAUACCGUCGUCGUCAGGUAACUUUUAAAAAUUUAAAAGUUAGCAUUAAAAACUAUGUAAGUUUAAACGUCAGAUCAAGGUGCAGCCUAUAUAAAGGUGAGGAUGGGUUACAAUUAUUGAAUUAUAACUACGAACUAAUUAUUUGAAUAAAUAAUAAUAAAGGAGGACUUGAAAGUAAAUCGAAUUAUAUAAAUAUUUUGAAUAAGGCUCUGAAACGU